GUUUUGAUAGUUUAUUUUAAAAACUUUGAUCUUGUAAAUCAAAAAAGACAUAGUCUCAAAACU
rnacentral:tRNA from 1 species